rnacentral:rRNA from 1 species
UACAGAGGUCUCAAGCGUUGUUCGGAUUCAUUGGGCGUAAAGGGUGCGUAGGCGGCGCGGUAAGUCGGAUGUGAAAUCUCGGAGCUUAACUCCGAAACUGCAUUCGAUACUGCCGUGCUUGAGGACUGGAGAGGAGACUGGAAUUUACGGUGUAGCGGUGAAAUGCGUAGAUAUCGGCAGGAACACCCAGGGGGAAACCAGUCGACUGGGCAUCUACUGACGCUGAGGUGCGAGAGCGUGGGGAGCGAACCGG